rnacentral:rRNA from 1 species
UACGUAGGGAGCAAGCGUUAUCCGGAUUUAUUGGGUGUAAAGGGUGCGUAGACGGGAAGGCAAGUUGGUUGUGAAAUCCCUCGGCUUAACUGAGGAACUGCAACCAAAACUAUCUUUCUUGAGUGCUGGAGAGGAAAGUGGAAUUCCUAGUGUAGCGGUGAAAUGCGUAGAUAUUAGGAGGAACACCAGUGGCGAAGGCGACUUUCUGGACAGUAACUGACGUUGAGGCACGAAAGUGUGGGGAGCAA